CCAUUGGAAGGUGAGGAGUUGAUCUCCUACAUGCUGCGUGGGCUCGGGUCAGAGUAUGACUCGCUCGUGACCAGCAUCACCACGCGAGUGGACUCCAUCACCAUCAGCGACCUUUAUGCACACAUGCUUGCGUUUGAGU